GAAGACAGCAGUGCUACAAAGCUGAAAUCCAACAGCAUUCAGUGCACUGGGCCUAUUCUUGGUCAAAAUUGAGCAUUCAGAGUUGUGACAAAGGUUGGUGGAGACCAAUCAGCUGGAAUGAACAGUGCUGUGUGCAGCCGGCUCAUUGCAUGGCAUCUCACAGCACAUCAACCAGAACUAAUUGCAUCCAAACAGAACUCCAAAAGUCAAAGCCUUGUAGUCAGCACUUCCUAAAGGAUAAACAGCUCAGAAUUGGCCUGGGUAGGAGCACUGAGGUUGUUGUUGAAUGUGAAGAGAUGGUUCUGAAAUGUUCAGUGGCUGAGUGAAAAUGCCUGUUGAACAUGCAGAAGCCUCCACCUGCUUUCUCAGUUUGAAAUAUAUUUGUCUUAAUCUUUUAUUUUUUAACAGCUAAUUUCUUUGGAGAUAUUAUAACAAUUUUUUCACAAGUCUGUGACCUGUUGUCCCUAAACCACUGAUGAAUUGCAUGAGGCCAGUUAUUAUACUUACAUAAAUUUUUAGGAAUGCAGACUAUGUUAGCUCCUCGUCACUGUGACCAAAACACCUGACAGGCACAACUUAGAAGAGGAGGCAUGUGUUUUGACUCACAGUUUCAGAUGUUCCGGUCCAUGGUUGACCAGCUCUAUUGCUUUGGAUUUGAAAUGUGGUAGAACAUCAAAUCAGAAGAACAUGGCAGAGUAAAGAUGUUCUGCAUUUGGUGGCUGGCAAGCAAAAAAAGAAAGGGAGAGCGAGAAACAGAGAGGGAGAGAAAGAUCACACGAAGUCCAGGGACGAAAUAUAAUCCGUAAGGUCACACACUCCCAGAGACCUACUUCCUCCAACUUUGCUCCACCUGCCUACAAUUUCUUCUAUUUCCCAGUGGUUUAUUCAGCUGUUGAUGGAGGUCAGAGCUCUCAUGAUCCAAUCACUGCCCCAAAUUUCCACCUCUGAAUAUUGCUGCAUUCGGGACCAAGCCUUCAACACAUGAACUUUU
rnacentral:lncRNA from 1 species